GGAAAAGAAACUAACAAGGAUUCCCCUAGUAACGGCGAGCGAAGCGGGAAGAGCUCAAAUUUGAAAGCUGGCACCUCCGGUGUCCGCGUUGUAAUCUCGAGACGUGUUUUCCGUGUGGCGCUAUGGACAAGUCCCUUGGAACAGGGCAUCGUAGAGGGUGAAAAUCCCGUACUUGCCAUGGAUGUACCAUGCUUUGUGAUACACGCUCUAAGAGUCGAGUUGUUUGGGAUUGCAGCUCAAAAUGGGUGGUAGACUCCAUCUAAAGCUAAAUAUCGGGGAGAGACCGAUAGCGAACAAGUACCGUGAGGGAAAGAUGAAAAGCACUUUGGAAAGAGAGUUAAAAGUACGUGAAAUUGUCGAAAGGGAAGCGCUUGAAGUCAGCCAUGCUGCUUGAGACUCAGCCUUGCUUUUGCUUGGUGUAUUUCUCGGUAGCAAGCCAGCAUUGGUUUGAGUCGUCGGAGAAGGGUACGAGAAAUGUGGCAUCCUCGGAUGUGUUAUAGGCUUGUACUGGAUACGACGAUUUGGAUCAAGGAACGCAGUGUGCCUCUGGCGGGUCUUCGGACACCUUCACA
rnacentral:rRNA from 1 species